rnacentral:rRNA from 1 species
CGCGAAGAACCUUACCAGAUCUUGACAUCCUCGGAAAGUUAUAGAGAUAUGACAGUGCCUUAGGGAACCGAGAGACAGGUGGUGCAUGGCUGUCGACAGCUCGUGUUGUGAGAUGUUGGGUUAAGUCCCGCAACGAGCGAAACCCCUAUCAUUAGUUACCAUCAUUAAGUUGGGGACUCUAAUGAAACUGCCUGCGAAGAGCAGGAGGAAGGUGGGGAUGACGUCAAGUCAUCAUGCCCCUUAUGAUCUGGGCUACACACGUGCUACAAUGGGUAGUACAAAGAGAGGCGAAAUGGCGACAUGGAGCAAAACUAGAAAGCUACUCUAAGUUCGGAUUGAAGUCUGCAACUCGACUUCAUGAAGCUGGAAUCACUAGUAAUCGCAAAUCAGCAAUGUUGCGGUGAAUACGUUCUCGGGUCUUGUAC